GACGAACGCUGGCGGCGUGCUUAACACAUGCAAGUCGAACGGAAAGGCCUCUUUCGGGGGGUACUCGAGUGGCGAACGGGUGAGUAACACGUGAGUAACCUGCCCUUGACUUUGGGAUAACUUCAGGAAACUGGGGCUAAUACCGGAUAGGAGCUCCUGCUGCAUGGUGGGGGUUGGAAAGUUUCGGCGGUUGGGGAUGGACUCGCGGCUUAUCAGCUUGUUGGUGGGGUAGUGGCUUACCAAGGCUUUGACGGGUAGCCGGCCUGAGAGGGUGACCGGCCACAUUGGGACUGAGAUACGGCCCAGACUCCUACGGGAGGCAGCAGGGGGGAAUAUUGCACAAUGGGUGGAAGCCGGAUGCAGCAACGCCGUGGGCGGGAGGACGGCCUUCGGGUUGGAAACCGCUUUCGCUCAUGACGAAGCUUUGUGUGACGGUAGUGGGUAAAGAAGCACCGGCUAACUACGUG
rnacentral:rRNA from 1 species